AUUGAACGCUGGCGGCAGGCCUAACACAUGCAAGUCGAGCGGAUGAAGGGAGCUUGCUCCUGGAUUCAGCGGCGGACGGGUGAGUAAUGCCUAGGAAUCUGCCUGGUAGUGGGGGAUAACGUCCGGGAACGGGCGCUAAUACCGCAUACGUCCUGAGGGAGAAAGUGGGGGAUCUUCGGACUUCACGCUAUCAGAUGAGCCUAGGUCGGAUUAGCUAGUUGGUGGGGUAAAGGCCUACCAAGGCGACGAUCCGUAACUGGUCUGAGAGGAUGAUCAGUCACACUGGAACUGAGACACGGUCCAGACUCCUACGGGAGGCAGCAGUGGGGAAUAGUGGACAAUGGGCGAAAGCCUGAUCCAGCCAUGCCGCGUGUGUGAAGAAGGUCUUCGGAUUGUAAAGCACUUUAAGUUGGGAGGAAGGGCAGUAAGUUAAUACCUUGCUGUUUUGACGUUACCAACAGAAUAAGCACCGGCUAACUUCGUG
rnacentral:rRNA from 1 species